GUGGGCGAAGCCUGAAGCAGCCAUGCCGCGUGUGUGAAGAAGGUCUUCGGAUUGUAAAGCACUUUCAGUUGGGAGGAAGGGCAGUUACCUAAUACGUGAUUGUUUUGACGUUACCGACAGAAUAAGCACCGGCUAACUCUGUGCCAGCAGCCGCGGUAAACA
rnacentral:rRNA from 1 species